rnacentral:tRNA from 1 species
GCCUGGGUGGCUCAGUCGGUUGAGCGUCUGACUUCGGCUCAGGUUGUGGUCUCACGGUUCGUGGGUUCGAGCCCUGCGUCAGGCU